UACGUAGGGUGCGAGCGUUGUCCGGAAUUAUUGGGCGUAAAGAGCUCGUAGGCGGUGUGUCGCGUCGGCCGUGAAAACCUGCAGCUUAACUGUGGGCUUGCGGUCGAUACGGGCAUCACUUGAGUUCGGCAGGGGAGACUGGAAUUCCCGGUGUAGUGGUGGAAUGCGUAGAUAUCGGGAGGAACACCGAUGGCGAAGGCAGGUCUCUGGGCCACUACUGACGCUGAAGAAGGCGAAAGCAUGGGGAGCGAACAGG
rnacentral:rRNA from 1 species